rnacentral:rRNA from 1 species
AACGUAGGUGGCAAGCGUUAUCCGGAAUUACUGGGCGUAAAGGGUGUGCAGGCGGGGAAGCAAGUGGUGUAUGAAAUAUCCCAGCUUAACUGGGAGGGGUUAUGCCAGACUGCUUUUCUAGAGGACGAGAGAGGGGGGUGGAAUUCCGGGUGUAGCGGUGGAAUGCGUAGAGAUCCGGAAGAACACCGGUGGCGAAGGCGGCCCGCUGGGCAACUGCUGACACUGAGGCGCGACAGCGUGGGGAGCAAACAGG